rnacentral:miRNA from 1 species
UGGUUCACGGGAGGACACACGC